rnacentral:sRNA from 2 species
UGUUCGAUAGGUAAGGCUCCUACAGGGAUACGGACUGCUGCCGCGAAAUAGUGGAGACACUAUGAGAUGGUUUGAACAGGGUACAUCGAAUCUAAGGUGUAACCUAACGCAGUUUCAUCGCCCUGCAAAGUUAAAGCUCACGCGAACA